AUUUCUAAAUGGAAUCUCUGACGCGCAUGCGCAGGAGAAACGUCCAUGAGUUUCGUGCAUAUAAAAGGCGUGGUUUCGUCGACGAGUUUCACAUCAAGUAUUUUCAGUUGGUGUUCAUAUUUGCCACAGCCAUGAAGUUCUUGCUGAUUGCUUGUUUGGGAAGCCUCUUCGCACAACAGGGACCGGCUGGCCUGCAGGGCCAGGGCCCUUCGUCAGGACCUGCAAGCUGACGUGCUGAGAGACUUCCCAGAACUUUGCUUCUCGUCAACAAACUUCCGACUCUUCCUGGAAAAUCAGUCCUGGAGCUUGUUCCCCUUCUGCGGCAAAGCUGAAUGCGUCAAGAGCGGCGCAGACUACAUUGAGCGCGUCCAUGACUGCGGUCCUCAGCCCAAGAAUGGUGAGGCAUGUACAAUUGCCAACCUAGCUGAGCUUCAACGGAACGACACCAUCCUCGAAUACCCAUCGUGCUGCCCCAAAUACGUGUGCCCUGAUGGAGUCACCCUUGAAUAUCCUACCCAGGAAGAGAUCAAGGCUGAGAUUCAGAAGCAAAACCAAGCCGCUCUGCAGGCAGCCAAGGAGGCCGCAGCAGCAAGGGAAGCGGCAGGCCCACAGGCAGCACCAGGAACUGCUUAAGUUACUCCAGAAAGACGAGGCAAAAUAAACUGUAAUGAUAAUAAAGUUAUUUGGAUAAUA